rnacentral:piRNA from 1 species
UGGUCACCCAUCAGAGAUAAUUCUGUA